GAGCAAACCAAAGUGGUUGCCUCUUCGUCAUAGGCGAAGGGGAGGAAAGUCCGAGCUCCAGAGGAUCAUGCAUCCUGUUAAUGCAGGACAUCGUCGAGUUGAGUGACUUGACGAGAGGAUUAGAGCCACAGUGACGAAUCCUCCGUCGUGGGCGGUUUAGGCCUUCCUACGACGGGGCGAGUGCAACGAGCAAUCUCUGCAGGGAGCAAGGCCAAAUAGGGAGAGAGUCCUCGCUUGAUGCGAGGCGCGAAGUGGAUCCGCUUCGCCAAUCACUCCACUUGUGGGGUGAAAAAAUCUCCGGGUAGGCUGCAAGAAUUGAGAAAGCAAUUUCUCAAGUGAGUGGAAUAACCACACCUUCGUUAAGAAGGAUACAGAACUCGGCUUAUUUGGUUUGCUCAUUC
rnacentral:RNase_P_RNA from 1 species